rnacentral:rRNA from 1 species
UACGUAGGGGGCAAGCGUUGUCCGGAUUUAUUGGGCGUAAAGAGCGUGUAGGCGGCUUUACAGGUCCGUUGUGAAAACUCGAGGCUCAACCUCGAGACGCCGGUGGAAACCGUAAAGCUAGAGUCCGGAAGAGGAGAGUGGAAUUCCUGGUGUAGCGGUGAAAUGCGGCAGAUAUCAGGAGGAACACCCAGUGGCGAAGGCGGUUCUCUGGGACGGUACUGACGCUGGAGACGCGAAGCGUGGGAGCGAACAG